rnacentral:rRNA from 1 species
GAUGAACGCUGGCGGCAUGCUUAAUACAUGCAAGUCGGACGGGCAGUGGUGUUUCUAGUGGCGGUCGGGUGAGUAACGCGUAAGAACCUGCCCUUGGGAGGGGAACAAUAAAUGGAAACGGUUGCUAAUACCCCGUAGGCUGAGGAGCAAAAGGAGGAAUCCGCCCGAGGAGGGGCUUGCGUCUGAUUAGCUAGCUGGUGCGGUAAUAGCUUACCAAGGCGAUGAUCAGUAGCUGGUCCGAGAGGAUGAUCAGCCACACUGGGACUGAGACACGGCCCAGGCUCCUACGGGAGGCAGCAGAGAGGAAUAUGCCGCAAUGGGCGAAAGCCUGACGGAGCAAUGCGACGUGGAGAUAGAGGGCCCACGGGUCGUGAACUGCGUUUCUCGGAGAAGAAACAAUGACGGUAUCUGAGGAGUAAGCAUCGGCUAACUCUGUG